UACGGAGGGUGCAAGCGUUGUCCGGAUUUAUUGGGUUUAAAGGGUGCGUAGGCGGCGCGGUAAGUCGGGUGUGAAAUCUCGGGGCUUAACUCCGAAACUGCAUUCGAUACUGCCGUGCUUGAGGACUGGAGAGGAGACUGGAAUUUACGGUGUAGCGGUGAAAUGCGUAGAUAUCGUAAGGAAGACCAGUGGCGAAGGCGGGUCUCUGGACAGUUCCUGACGCUGAGGCACGAAGGCCAGGGGAGCAAACGGG
rnacentral:rRNA from 1 species